rnacentral:rRNA from 1 species
UAAUGGCGCCGACGACCGUGCCUCAAUCGGCCACGAACGAUUCCUCUAUGGCAGUUCCGGACGAGAAGUGUCCGAAAGAAGCAGAGAGGGGUGUCUCGAAAUGCUGGGCUUCCGGAAGUAGCGAGUGCGCCGCACCGACGCAGUCCGAAAGCGGGUAACGCGUUAUAAGGGGUGACGACGGAGGGCAUC